rnacentral:rRNA from 1 species
AACGAACGCUGGCGGCAGGCUUAACACAUGCAAGUCGAGCGCCCCGCAAGGGGAGCGGCAGACGGGUGAGUAACACGUGGGAACGUACCUUUUGCUACGGAAUAGCUCCGGGAAACUGGAAUUAAUACCGUAUGUGCCCUUCGGGGGAAAGAUUUAUCGGCAAAAGAUCGGCCCGCGUCUGAUUAGCUAGUUGGUGGGGUAAUGGCCUACCAAGGCGACGAUCAGUAGCUGGUCUGAGAGGAUGAUCAGCCACACUGGGACUGAGACACGGCCCAGACUCCUACGGGAGGCAGCAGUGGGGAAUAUUGGACAAUGGGCGCAAGCCUGAUCCAACCAUGCCGCGUGAGUGAUGAAGGCCUUAGGGUUGUAAAGCUCUUUCGCUAGGGAAGAUAAUGACGGUACCUAGAGAAGAAGCCCCGGCUAACUUCGUGCCAGCCGCCGCAGUAAUAC